CCCUUAGACGUUCUGGGCCGCACGCGCGCUACACUGACCAGUGCAACAAGCAUCCGUCCUUGGCCGACAGACUCGGGCAAUCUUUGAACGCUGGUCGUGAUGGGGAUAGACUUUUGCAAUUUUUGGUCUUCAACGAGGAAUUCCUAGUAAACGCAAGUCAUCAACUUGCAUUGAUUACGUCCCUGCCCUUUGUACACACCGCCCGUCGCACCUACCGAUUGAAUGGUCCGGUGAAGCCUCCGGAUUGGCGCGCACCUCGGUGCCGCCGAGAAGUUGGCUAAACCUUACCAUUUAGAGGAAGGUGAAGUCGUAACA
rnacentral:rRNA from 1 species